rnacentral:rRNA from 1 species
UACGGAGGGUGCAAGCGUUAUCCGGAUUCACUGGGUUUAAAGGGAGCGUAGGUGGGCUGGUAAGUCAGUGGUGAAAUCUCCGGGCUUAACCCGGAACUGCCGUUGAUACUAUCAGUCUUGAAUAUUGUGGAGGUAAGCGGAAUAUGUCAUGUAGCGGUGAAAUGCUUAGAUAUGACAUAGAACACCGAUAGCGAAGGCAGCUUGCUACACAAUGAUUGACACUGAGGCUCGAAAGCGUGGGGAUCAAACAGG